rnacentral:sRNA from 1 species
UGUUUCGAUUCGAUCGGGAUACUCAUCAAAUUAUUAUGAAAACAGAGAAAGCUUCUCUUGCUUAUGGCGGGCCACAUUAUUGCUCUGUAAUAUAGCUUAAAAGCCGGUGGAUUACAGAGGCGGAGAGCGCUCACAACGUUAAUUACCGGAGUUUUCAUCACAUCAUCGUA